rnacentral:rRNA from 1 species
CCUACGGGUGGCUGCAGUGGGGGAUAUUGCACAAUGGGGGGAACCCUGAUGCAGCGACGCCGCGUGUGGGAAGACGGUCCUCUGGAUUGUAAACCACUGUCGCCAGGGACGAAAAUGACGGUACCUGGGGAGGAAGCUCCGGCUAACUCCGUGCCAGCAGCGGCGGUAAUACGUAGGGAGCGAGCGUUGUCCGGAUUUACUGGGUGUAAAGGGAGCGUAGACGGGUUGGCAAGCCAGUAGUGAAAGGCUGGGGCUCAACCCCAGGACUGCAUUUGGAACUGUCAUGCUAGAGUGUCGGAGAGGCAGGCGGAAUUCCUAGUGUAGCGGUGAAAUGCGUAGAUAUUAGGAGGAACACCAGUGGCGAAGGCGGCCUGCUGGACUAUGACUGACGUUGAGGCUCGAAAGCGUGGGGAGCAAACAGGAUUAGAUACCCCUGUAGUC